AACUUUCAAUAAUGGAUAUCUCAGCUCUCGCAUCGUUAAAUAACGUAUUGAAAUGCGAUACUUGGUGCGAAUUGUUGAAUUCUGUGAACCAUCGAAUCUUUAAACGAAAGUUAUGCCCUAAUCCAUUAGGCCGAGGGCACGUCUCCUGGAUGUCA
rfam:Gossypium raimondii Chr13_contig_513, whole genome shotgun sequence.